rnacentral:misc_RNA from 1 species
GAAGUGCGAUAAGCAAUGCGAAUUGCAGAAUUCCGCGAAUCAUCAGAUCUUUGAACGCAAAUGGCGCCAGAGGGAUAUCCUUCUGGCAUGUCUGUUUCAGUGUCUGAGAGGUUUCAUAAUAAUCUUAAUGUGAUUGAACUCAGUCUGUCUGUCUGUUUUAUUACAAACAAACAAACUGCUCUUUUCUCUCAUGAAAGAUGCGCAAGGGGAUCUUUCGGUCCAAUGAAGUGGUCACAUCACUCGAAUGUGAUUUCAUUGGAAGCACCGAAUUAUCAUUUUAAAAAACUACUUGCGGUACCUUAAAACCAAAUUAUUAUUAUUAUUAGAUGUUCUUCGCAUCCAAAUAAUAAUAAUACUCUCUAUACCCUGCAUCUGAGAUAGGCAAGAUCACCCGCUGAACUUAAGC